rnacentral:rRNA from 1 species
UACGUAGGGUGCAAGCGUUACUCGGAAUUACUGGGCGUAAAGGGUGCGUAGGUGGUUUGUUAAGUCUGCUGUGAAAUCCCCGGGCUCAACCUGGGAAUGGCAGUGGAUACUGGCAAGCUAGAGUGCGGUAGAGGGUAGUGGAAUUCCCGGUGUAGCAGUGAAAUGCGUAGAGAUCGGGAGGAACACCAGUGGCGAAGGCGGCUACCUGGACCAGCACUGACCACUGAAGCACGAAAGCGUGGGGAAGCAAACAGGG